AGUGAACGCUGGCGGUAGGCCUAACACAUGCCAGUCGAACGGCAGCACAGUAAGAGCUUGCUCUUACGGGUGGCGAGUGGCGGACGGGUGAGGAAUACAUCGGAAUCUACUUUUUCGUGGGGGAUAACGUAGGGAAACUUACGCUAAUACCGCAUACGACCUACGGGUCAAAGCAGGGGAUCUUCGGACCUUGCGCGAUUGAAUGAGCCGAUGUCGGAUUAGCUAGUUGGCGGGGUAAAGGCCCACCAAGGCGACGAUCCGUAGCUGGUCUGAGAGGAUGAUCAGCCACACUGGAACUGAGACACGGUCCAGACUCCUACGGGAGGCAGCAGUGGGGAAUAUUGGACAAUGGGCGCAAGCCUGAUCCAGCCAUACCGCGUGGGUGAAGAAGGCCUUCGGGUUGUAAAGCCCUUUUGUUGGGAAAGAAAAGCAGCAGGUUAAUACCCCGCUGUUCUGACGGUACCCAAAGAAUAAGCACCGGCUAACUUCGUG
rnacentral:rRNA from 1 species